rnacentral:rRNA from 62 species
UUGACCUCGGAUCAGGUAGGGAUACCCGCUGAACUUA